AAGUCCGUAACAAGGUCUCCGUUGGUGAACCAGCGGAGGGAUCAUUACAGAGUUGCAAAACUCCCAAACCAUUGUGAACGUUACCCAUCCCGUUGCUUCGGCGGGCGGCCCGGGCCCCGUGCCCGGCGCCCCCCGGCCCCUCGCGGGCGCCCGCCGGAGGUAAACCAAACUCUUGAAUUGUAUGGCCUCUCUGAGUCUUCUGUACUGAAUAAGUCAAAACUUUCAACAACGGAUCUCUUGGUUCUGGCAUCGAUGAAGAACGCAGCGAAAUGCGAUAAGUAAUGUGAAUUGCAGAAUUCAGUGAAUCAUCGAAUCUUUGAACGCACAUUGCGCCCGCCAGUAUUCUGGCGGGCAUGCCUGUUCGAGCGUCAUUUCAACCAUCAAGCCCCCGGCUUGUGUUGGGGACCUGCGGCUGCCGCAGGCCCUGAAAACCAGUGGCGGGCUCGCUAGUCACUCCGAGCGUAGUAGUUACAUCUCGCUCAGGGCGUGCUGCGGGUUCCGGCCGUUAAAAAGCCUUAUUUACCCCAAGGUUGACCUCGGAUCAGGUAGGAAGACCCGCUGAACUUAAGCAUAUCAAUAA
rnacentral:rRNA from 1 species